UACGGAGGAGGCAAGCGUUAUCCGGAAUUAUUGGGCGUAAAGCGUCCGCAGGUGGCUAUUCAAGUCUGCGGUCAAAGACUGGGGCUUAACCCUGGAAAGGCCGUGGAAACUGAAGAGCUAGAGUGCAGUAGGGGUAGAGGGAAUUCCCGGUGUAGCGGUGAAAUGCGUAGAGCUCGGGAAGAACAUCGGUGGCGAAAGCGCUCUGCUGGACUGCAACUGACACUCAGGGACGAAAGCUAGGGGAGCGAACGGG
rnacentral:rRNA from 1 species